UCGGGCAAUCACAACUGUGUCCCGCAGAACCACCAAUGACCGAUGAACAAGGAAAUGCUGUAUCAAAUAACAUACCCAACAUGCCUAAGCAGUAGGUUUUGGUAACCAUUUUUCAGACUUACUGCUUAUACACCACUUUGUUCGGUGAGACUGAUUGCUGGUUUAGCUUACCUCAUCAGUGCUAUUGUCCUUAGACAUAUUUCUCCACCCACUCUCUCCAGUUUAAAGACUCCAGCCACUUACUGUACACAGGCAUAGCUUAGUGCUCCAUGGCACUAUGUACUUGUGUGUGUGUCCAUCUGUGCCCUGUGCUGCUCUCACCGCUCCCCUUGGCAGCAUCCUCUCUGUGCCACUGAGUUCUCCUUCCUUCUCUCAAACAGAGUGACUGAUGGAUGUAAGAUUAAUCCCGUUUCUAUUUCAGUUGUAAAGUUGGUGUGCCCUCAAUGUUUCCUAUUUCUGUUUGUCUAAUAGGAAAAAUAACAUCUGCCAGCAAACCAUGACUUAAGCAAGAAUUAAAAAAUAAGCCAACACUUCAUCACAUGUUGAGAAUGUGGUGUCUUGUCUGUAUAAGGAAGAGAUUUGCCAAUUUUUCUUGAUAAUGCCUUGUAAUGGAAAUGUAACUUGUCCUGAAGUGAAGAGAGCCCACGAAUACUGCAUGGAACUGCUGCUUUUUCAAUUAGAAAAAUCUUUUACUGUGAAGGUGUCUUGGGGAACCUUAGGAGAGAAUACAGCUGGAACAUGCCAUGGGUGGUCUGCUCAUCACCUAGAAUGACACUUACUUUAAAUGCUUCUUGCUGGGAAUAAAGUCAACUGAAAAAUGUUAUGCUGGGUGAAACAGGACUCUGACAAGCCUGGAGUAUGUCUCAGUGCAAGAAAAGGAGCUAAUCAUUAUAAAAACUCCCAUUGUUUAGGAAGUCACUACUCAAAAUGAAUUCAGCUUUUUUGAUGACAAGUGAUUUCUCUCACCCCAAGGAGCAUUUCAGAGCAUCCACACAACAACCAUGCAUGAACCCCAGCUGGUGAAGGAGGCAAGAUUCCAAGUGUCUUUACUCUGCAGUGCAGUCACAGCUCCCAGAAAACUCUCUUAUGUUUAUUCCCACUACUCUGCAUGACUGAGUGAUUCUACUACAUUCCUCUCUAUCAGAUGAGACAGUAAAACAGAGGUUUGAGGCACCUGGUAUGGAGCACAGUGGGCUGGCCAGGACAACAUGUGAGAUCUUUUGGUAGAGUAAUGUUAAAAAGCAUCCUUCUAGUAGACUCCCCAUAAAGUAACACUCAUCUCCCAACUAGGCCAG